rnacentral:rRNA from 1 species
UACGUAGGGAGCAAGCGUUGUCCGGAAUCAUUGGGCGUAAAGCGCGCGUAGGUGGCCACAUAAGUCCGUUGUGAAAGUCAAAGGCUCAACCUUUGAAAGCCGAUGGAUACUGUGUGGCUAGAGUACGGAAGAGGCGAGUGGAAUUCCUGGUGUAGCGGUGAAAUGCGCAGAUAUCAGGAAGAACACCCGUGGCGAAGGCGGCUCUCUGGGACGGUACUGACGCUGAGACGCGAAAGCGUGGGGAGCAAACAGG